rnacentral:rRNA from 1 species
GGCUUAGAAGCAGCCACACAUUUAAAGAGUGCGUAAUAGCUCACUGGUCGAGUGAUCCUGCGCCGAAAAUUCAACGGGGCUAAACGUGUAACCGAAGCUUGGGAUUCCGCAAGGAAUGGUAGGGGAGCGUCGUGUAAGGGGUGAAGUCGCAGCGAGAGCGGCGGUGGACAUUACACGAGUGAGAAUGCCGGAAUGAGUAGCGCGAAUUAUGUGAGAAUCAUAAUGGCCGAAAGUCUAAGGUUUUUGGAGGAAGGUUCGUCCGCUCCAAGUUAGUCGGGAGCUAAGGUGAGGCCGAAAGGCGUAGCCGAUGCACAGACGGUAGAGAUUCCGUCCCCACCGAAAGAUUUAAGCGCAGGGACACUUUUAGAAGGUCGGAGCCAGGUGUUGGUUCUGGUAGAGAUCGAGGGAAAUUUAGUACCGAAGUCCGGCUGGAUAAGAGGCGAGAAAAGCUGCGUGUAUAUCUAAGGUGCCCGUACCGCAAACCGACACAGGUAGGUAGGAAGAAGAUUCUAAGGCCAACGGGAGAAGGGUUGUUAAGGAACUCGGCAAGUUGACCCCGUAACUUCGGAAUAAGGGGUGCUCAUGAAAGUGAGCCGCAGAGAAUAGGCCCAGGCAACUGUUUACCAAAAACACAGGUUUGUGCUAAAUCGAAAGAUGACGUAUACGAGCUGACGCCUGCCCGGUGCUGGAAGGUUAAAAGGAGAUGUGCAAGCAUUGAAUUGAAGCCCCAGUGAACGGCGGCCGUAACUAUAACGGUCCUAAGGUAGCGAAAUUCCUUGUCAGGUAAGUUCUGACCCGCACGAAAGGCGUAAUGAUUUGGGCACUGUCUCAACAGCCCGCCCGGCGAAAUUGUAGUACCGGUGAAGAUGCCGGUUACCCGCGACAAGACGGAAAGACCCCAUGGAGCUUUACUGUAGCCUAAUAUUGGGUUUCGAUGUUGCAUGCACAGGAUAGAUGGGACUCUUGGAAACCAAGGCUUUGGCUUUGGCGGAGAGGCCGUUGGGAUACCAUCCUUGCGAUAUUGGAAUUCUAACCUGCGGCUCUGAAUCGAGUCGGGGGACAUUGUUAGGUGGGCAGUUUGACUGGGGCGGUCGCCUCCUAAAGAGUAACGGAGGCGUUCAAAGGUUCGCUCAGCUUGAACGGAAAUCAAGCAAAAGAGUGCAAACGCAGAAGCGAGCCUAACUGCGAGACUGACGGGUCGAGCAGUAACGAAAGUUGGAGUUAGUGAUCCGGCGGUAUGUGAGUGGAAAUGCCGUCGCUCAACGGAUAAAAGCUACCCUGGGGAUAACAGGCUGAUCU